rnacentral:rRNA from 1 species
CCUGACCUCGGCUCAGACGUGAUUACCCGCUGAACUUAAGCAUA